rnacentral:rRNA from 1 species
CCUACGGGUGGCAGCAGUGAGGAAUAUUGGUCAAUGGGCGCGAGCCUGAACCAGCCAAGUAGCGUGAAGGAUGACUGCCCUACGGGUUGUAAACUUCUUUUAUAUGGGAGUAAAAUGUUCCACGUGUGGGAUUUUGUAUGUACCAUAUGAAUAAGGAUCGGCUAACUCCGUGCCAGCAGCCGCGGUAAUACGGAGGAUCCGAGCGUUAACCGGAUUUAUUGGGGUUAAAGGGAGCGUAGGUGGAUUGUUAAGUCAGUUGUUAAAGUUUGCGGCUCAACCGUAAAAUUGCAGUUGAAACUGGCAGUCUUGAGUACAGGAGAGGUGGGCGGAAUUCGUGGUGUAGCGGUGAAAUGCUUAGAUAUCACGAAGAACUCCGAUUGCGAAGGCAGCUCACUGGACUGCAACUGACGCUGAGGCUCGAAAGUGUGGGUAUCAAACAGGAUUAGAUACCCGAGUAGUC